rnacentral:tRNA from 1 species
AAAGGGAGACCUAAUUCAGGUAAAAGACGAAAAAAAAGUAGUCGCUACCAAGAAUCAAUCCCAAAAGGUCGAAGCGAGGCGAAAUUGGCUUUCAAACUAGGUUCUGGGUUCAAACAAGACCUGAAUCAGGAACAAGGGCUAUUAGCUCAGGUGGUUAGAGCGCACCCCUGAUAAGGGUGAGGUCCCUGGUUCGAGUCCAGGAUGGCCCACCUGCACAGGUGGCAAAAACAAGAGAAGCGAGGAAUCAGCACCUUAUCUUACUUAUAUAGUAAGAGAGAAUGCUGGCUCUGAGUAAAGAGUCCAGAGGAACCUUGAAAACUGCAUAGAGCUAGGUGAAAAAGCCAAAAAAGAAGACCGCAAG